rnacentral:rRNA from 1 species
CGAUAACGAACGAGACCUUAACCUGCUAAAUAGCCAGGCUAGCUUUGGCUGGUCGCCGGCUUCUUAGAGGGACUAUCGGCUCAAGCCGAUGGAAGUUUGAGGCAAUAACAGGUCUGUGAUGCCCUUAGAUGUUCUGGGCCGCACGCGCGCUACACUGACAGAGCCAACGAGUUCUUCACCUUGGCCGAAAGGUCUGGGUAAUCUUGUUAAACUCUGUCGUGCCGGGGAUAGAGCAUUGCAAUUAUUGCUCCUCAACGAGGAAUGCCUAGUAAGCGCGUGUCAUCAGCAUGCGUUGAUUACGUCCCUGCCCUUUGUACACACCGCCCGUCGCUACUACCCCAUUAAAAUGUCU